GUUGGACUUGCCGAGGCCAAAAAAAAAAUAUCAACUUUCACUACGUCGGUCCUAGAUGACUGGAGUUUGUCCCUUGUGAUCCAAAGGAUAAUGGUUGAAAACUACAGAGACAUACAGUUACCUCGUCAUUUUCUCACCCCUGUCUCCAUAUUUAAGCUCCCUGCUUGCCUUUGCUAAUCACUGGAUACAUCCAUUGGGCUGUCCAUUCCAUGCCCCUUUUCACUACCCAUUACUCUGCUCAUGGUCCGUGUCCUGUUCUCCGUGUGCAAGACCGACAUGUGUUGGUUCCCUUUCUCUUCACCUGCUCUUCAAUGAGCUUGAGGUUUGCAUGUUUUUAAAGCAGAUGUCAGGAGGUCUAAAUCACUUCCUCGGAUUCCCGUCACAUCGUUUCUACCCUGCAGGAAGCCGUUUGAAUGCCAUGAAUGAGAAUAAAGUGUCCUGAAAGAGGGUCUUAUGAUCUACAUCUGCCACUUUGACCGGACUGUCCUUGAUGCCCUGAGCAUCUCUGCUCCUAAAUCCCGCCACAGAAACUGAAAUGAUCACUUUCUAAGCGUGUAAAAUGGGCCAACGGGGUUUUACCAACCAAGCCCUGUCCGCAUGCCAAGGGAAUUAGCUCCAAUUUACCCGGCUGUGACUACGCUCUCAUAGCUCGACAAAUCUCUCCUGGAGGGCUAAUGGCUCCAGCAGGAGCCAGGGUUGAAGACAGAGACAGAAAACGUCACACUCCUAAUGUCCUCUCCAUCCUCCAGUAAUGACGGGGCAGUGCCCCUGCAAGACAAUUACUUGAGAAACCGCUUAUUUGUGCAUUAAGGGCUAUGCGGGAUGUAAACUUGUCAGCAACUUUUUUUAAUCGCUUAAUACGGAUACAGAGAUAUGUCUUAAAACUGUAACUGGGGAAUAAGUCAUGAUCUCACGGAGGUAAAAGCAGGCCAGGCAAGCAAAAGGUGUCGCUCUAUAAAGCUGCACUGGCCGUAUGACAACCGCACAAGUAGAAGGUGCAAUGUGGUGAAUUCUUUUUCUCAGACUUUCUCUCUUUCUCAACUAGAAGCCUGAAAGCAUUUCACACAUUUUUUUCCCUCAGUAGCAGCAGGCUGGGCUACAAAGAUUUCUCCCUCUCCACCAGACAAAAUAAACACAUUUUGAGUUGUAACCAGACAAUUUCUUUGUCUGCAAAACCACGGGAUAAUCCUGCAUUUGGUGUAAAAGUCUGGGUAUAUUCCUCCACGUGGGCACUUUAUCUACAACUGCUGUUGAAACACGCUGGAUAUAUCAACAAUAAA